AUCAGGACGGGUUGGAGUUAGUAUAGUGGCUCAUUUAUAUUUUCUUUCAUCAAAUAUACGCGAAUGAUUUGCUAUCUUUUCAAUAUCCUGUUAUGCUAGUAGAGAAUUAUUUUUGUUCGAAGCAACGGAUAGCGUAGAUAGCAAAAUUUCGUCUAGAUGAUCCUGAGAGCAAGGAUAGUAAUAUAUGUGUGUUACACACUAGGAGGCAAUAACAAUGGAACAAGGUACAGUAAAAUGGUUUAACGCAGAAAAAGGUUUUGGUUUUAUCGAGCGCGAAGGUAAAGAAGACGUAUUCGUUCACUUCUCUGCUAUCCAAGGCGACGGUUUCAAAUCCCUUGACGAAGGUCAAAAAGUUACUUUUGACGUAGAACAAGGCCAACGCGGACCACAAGCUACUAACGUUCAAAAAGUUUAAUUUAACCAAACACAAAAAACAGACUCCUGUAAGGGUGUCUGUUUUUU
rnacentral:sRNA from 1 species